GACGAACGCUGGCGGCGUGCUUAACACAUGCAAGUCGAACGGAAAGGCCCUGCUUUUGUGGGGUGCUCGAGUGGCGAACGGGUGAGUAACACGUGAGUAACCUGCCCUUGACUUUGGGAUAACUUCAGGAAACUGGGGCUAAUACCGGAUAGGAGCUCCUGCUGCAUGGUGGGGGUUGGAAAGUUUCGGCGGUUGGGGAUGGACUCGCGGCUUAUCAGCUUGUUGGUUGGGUAGUGGCUUACCAUGGCUUUGACGGGUAGCCGGCCUGAGAGGGUGACCGGCCACAUUGGGACUGAGAUACGGCCCAGCCUCCUCCGGGAGGCAGCAGUGGAGAAUAUUGCACAAUGGGCGGAAGCCUGAUGCAGCAAAGCCGCGUGCGGGAUGACGGCCUUCGGGUUGUAACCCGCUUUCGCCUGUGACGAAGCGUGAGUGACGGUAAUGGGUAAAGAAGCACCGGCUAACUACGUG
rnacentral:rRNA from 1 species